rnacentral:tRNA from 1 species
UGUUCUGUGGCUUAGUGUGAUAAAGCGCUGAUCUAGCAAAUUCGAAGUCGUGGGUUCGAAUCCCAGCAGAGCGU